UACGUAGGGUGCAAGCGUUGUCCGGAAUUAUUGGCGUAAAGAGCUCGUAGGCGGUCUGUCGCGUCUGCUGUGAAAACUCAGGGCUUAACCCUGAGCUUGCAGUGGGUACGGGCAGACUAGAGUGCGGUAGGGGAGACUGGAAUUCCUGGUGUAGCGGUGAAAUGCGCAGAUAUCAGGAAGAACACCCGUGGCGAAGGCGGCUCUCUGGGACGGUACUGAC
rnacentral:rRNA from 1 species